GACGAACGCUGGCGGCGUGCUUAACACAUGCAAGUCGAGCGGUAAGGCCCUUUCGGGGGUACACGAGCGGCGAACGGGUGAGUAACACGUGGGUGACCUGCCCUCAGCUCUGGGAUAAGCCCGGGAAACUGGGUCUAAUACCGGAUAUGACUCCAUGACGCAUGUUGUGGGGUGGAAAGCCUUGUGCGGCUGAGGAUGGGCCCGCGGCCUAUCAGCUUGUUGGUGGGGUGAUGGCCUACCAAGGCGACGGACGGGUAGCCGGCCUGAGAGGGCGACCGGCCACACUGGGACUGAGACACGGCCCGGACUCCUACGGGAGGCAGCAGUGGGGAAUCUUGCGCAAUGGGCGAAAGCCUGACGCAGCGACGCCGCGUGAGGGAUGACGGCCU
rnacentral:rRNA from 1 species